rnacentral:rRNA from 1 species
UACUUAGGGUGCAAGCGUUGUCCGGAAUUAUUGGGCGUAAAGAGCUCGUAGGCGGUCUGUCGCGUCGGCUGUGAAAACUUGGGGCUCAACCCCAAGCCUGCAGUCGAUACGGGCAGACUAGAGUGCGGUAGGGGAGACUGGAAUUCCUGGUGUAGCGGUGAAAUGCGCAGAUAUCAGGAGGAACACCGGUGGCGAAGGCGGGUCUCUGGGCCGUAACUGACGCUGAGGAGCGAAAGCGUGGGGAGCGAACAGG